rnacentral:tRNA from 1 species
GGAGGGCUCGCCUAACGGUAUGGCAGCGGAUUUGAAAUCCGCCGGGCUCGCGCCCUUGGGGGUUCGAUUCCCUCGCCCUCCG